AAACGGGUGCGGAACACGUACACAACCUUCCUUAAAGUGGGGGAUAGCCCAGAGAAAUUUGGAUUAAUACCCCGUAAGAUUAUGAGAUGGCAUCAUUUUAUAAUUAAAGCUCCGGCGCUUAAAGAUGGGUGUGCGGCUGAUUAGGUAGUUGGUGAGGGUAACGGCCCACCAAGCCUUCGAUCAGUAACUGGUGUGAGAGCACGACCAGUCACACGGGCACUGAGCACGGGCCCG
rnacentral:rRNA from 1 species